ACAAUGAUGAUGUCACUGAUUCUACUGCUGGCCACCCUGGGGCUCCUUGUUCAGGGUUCAUCAGGACAAACCAUCCUGACUCAGUCUCCUGGAUCUCAGUCUGUUGUUCCAGGACAGGCUGUCUCUCUCAAAUGUAAAACCAGUGCAAGUGUUACUAUUCUUGUUUAUAGCUCCCUCCACUGGUACCUUCAGAAACCUGGAGAAGCUCCUAAACUCCUGAUUUAUUAUGCUACAACCCGUCAGUCUGGAGUUCCAGAUCGUUUUAGUGGAAGAGGAUCUGGGACUGACUUCACUCUGACCAUCAGUGGAGUUCAGGCUGAAGAUUCAGGAGUUUACUACUGUCAGCAGGGUGACAGCUUCCCAUCCACACAGUGAUACAACGUCGUACAAAAACCUCCCUCAGCUGGAGAGGAACUGAUCUGACUCAACAGCUGCACUGAAACUAAAACAGAGGUUUAUAAAAA